CCCGGAUAGUUAAUUAAAACACUUAGGUCGUGACCCUAAAAAUUAGAGGUACCCUCUUCCGAGCU
rnacentral:tRNA from 1 species